UGCUGCCUACGGGGGGCAGCAGUGGGGAAUAUUGCGCAAUGGGGGAAACCCUGACGCAGCAACGCCGCGUGAGUGAGGAAGUAUCUCGGUAUGUAAAGCUCUAUCAGCGGGGAAGAAAGAGGACGGUACCCGACUAAGAAGCCCCGGCUAACUACGUGCCAGCAGCCGCGGUAAUACGUAGGGGGCGAGCGUCAUCCGGAUUUACUGGGUGUAAAGGGAGCGUAGACGGCAUGGCAAGUCUGAAGUGAAAGCCCGGGGCUCAACCGCGGGACUGCUUUGGAAACUGUUAAGCUGGAGUGCAGGAG
rnacentral:rRNA from 1 species